GACGAACGCUGGCGGCGUGCUUAACACAUGCAAGUCGAACGGAAAGGCCCUGCUUUUGUGGGGUGCUCGAGUGGCGAACGGGUGAGUAACACGUGAGUAACCUGCCCUUGACUUUGGGAUAACUUCAGGAAACUGGGGUUAAUAUCGGAUAGGAGCUGACGUAGCAGGGUGGGGGUUGGAAAGUUUCGGCGGUUGGGGAUGGACGCGCGGCUUACGAGCUUGUUGGUGGGGUAGGGGCUGACCAAGGCUUUGACGGGUAGGCGGCCUGGGAGGGGGAACGGGCUCCUGGGGCCUACGGGACGGCCCAGUCGGCAACGGGAGGCAGCAGGGGGGAGUCUGGCACAAUGGGCGCAAGCCUGAUGCGACAACGCCGCGUGCGUAAUGACGGCCUUCGGGUUGUAAACCGCUUUCGCCUGUGACGAAGCGGGAGUGACGGUAAUGGGUAAAGAAGCACCGGCUAACUACGUG
rnacentral:rRNA from 1 species